GGCAGCAUGGUCUUAGCUUGCUAAGACUGAUGGCGACCGGCGCACGGGUGCGUAACGCGUAUGCAACUUGCCUCACAGAGGGGGAUAGCCCGUCGAAAGACGGACUAAUACCGCGUACACUCCACUUUGGGCAUCCAAAGUAGAGGAAAUGAAAUUCGCUGUGAGAUAGGCAUGCGUCCCAUUAGCUAGUUGGUGAGGUAACGGCUCACCAAGGCGACGAUGGGUAGGGGAACUGAGAGGUUGAACCCCCACACUGGUACUGAGACACGGACCAGACUCCUACGGGAGGCAGCAGUGAGGAAUAUUGGUCAAUGGGCGAGAGCCUGAACCAGCCAAGUCGCGUGAAGGAUGACUGUCUUAUGGAUUGUAAACUUCUUUUAUACGGGAAUAACAAGAGUCACGUGUGACUCCCUGCAUGUACCGUAUGAAUAAGCAUCGGCUAACUCCGUGCCAGCAGCCGCGGUAAUACGGAGGAUGCGAGCGUUAUCCGGAUUUAUUGGGUUUAAAGGGUGCGUAGCGGGCCUGUUAAGUCAGCGGUGAAAUCUAGGAGCUUGGCUCCUAAAUUGCCAUUGAUACUGGCGGGCUUGAGUGUAGAUGAGGUAGGCGGAAUGCGUGGUGUAGCGGUGGAAUGCAUAGAUAUCACGCAGAACUCCGAUUGCGAAGGCAGCUUACUAAGGUACAACUGACGCUGAAGCACGAAAGCGUGGGUAUCAAACAGGAUUAGAUACCCUGGUAGUCCACGCAGUAAACGAUGAUAACUGGGCGUAUGCGAUA
rnacentral:rRNA from 1 species